GAUCCUACUCUUGAUUUAGGCGCAGGUCACGAUCCCAGGGUCCCGUAUUGAGUUGGAAUGCUGGCAAUGCCUGUUUCCUGUUCUGCGCUACUUGCACAGGCCAAGACAGCAGAUCCUCCCUCAGACAACUAUGCCGCCACCCACUGGACCGUAUCUAGAAGCCAGCAAAUGCCUCCCUCCUGCUGUGAUGCCUGACUCCAUUUGGAUUCUUUCAAGCAAAAUCUUCACUGUUGCAGUGUUAGUAGUUAAGAGUGAUGUCUUCUGGAAGCACACAGCCUUGGUUUGAAUCCCUCUUCUACCACACUCUAGCACUGAGAUAUUGUCUGAGUCUGAGCACUGAGAAUAAAGAAGUGGAGAGAAACAAAAGGAAACGUCCUCAGUCCAACUGUCAAGGCAGCCAAAAGACCACAAUAGUGGAAGGACAGGAGUCCUUCCUGACUUCAGAAAUAACCAG